ACUGAAUCAUGCUACCAUUUUAUGUCUUUUUCUACUUAAUCCUCCAACACUUCUCCUUUUCUUAUCUUCGAAUUUCACUAACAAAAUUGGAGUAAUCCGUGUAAUCCAUAUGUGUUUACCUAUUAGUUUUUGAAUCCACAGGUCAUGACUUCCAAUGGAUUAUCAUAGAUGAACUGUAAACUUUUUUUUUUCUUUGAACUGUAAACUCUUAUCAAAGGUCAAUCCCUGGCUCAUCUGCAUUAGGUCCCAUUCCCUCUUUCAAGCACAUGGCUCAACAACUCUUCCCUUUCUCUCCUGGCUCAUUAGUUUUUCCUUCUCUGAUGGACUGUUACUGGCAUUCUAAAACAUGGUGUUAAUUCUAGUUUACAGUUCCCUCUCAACCUGCCCAACUCUCCUGGCUCUGCUCCAUUUUUCUGUUCUCUAUCAAAAAA